rnacentral:rRNA from 1 species
CCUGGCUCAGGACGAACGCUGGCGGCGUGCUUAACACAUGCAAGUCGAGCGGUAAGGCCCUUCGGGGUACACGAGCGGCGAACGGGUGAGUAACACGUGAGCAACCUGCCCCUGACUCUGGGAUAAGCGGUGGAAACGCCGUCUAAUACCGGAUACGACCCGCCACCUCAUGGUGGAGGGUGGAAAGUUUUUCGGUCAGGGAUGGGCUCGCGGCCUAUCAGCUUGUUGGUGGGGUAACGGCCUACCAAGGCGAUUACGGGUAGCCGGCCUGAGAGGGCGACCGGCCACACUGGGACUGAGACACGGCCCAGACUCCUGCGGGAGGCAGCAGUGGGGAAUAUUGCGCAAUGGGCGAAAGCCUGACGCAGCGACGCCGCGUGGGGGAUGACGGCCUUCGGGUUGUAAACCUCUUUUACCACCAGCAGCAGGCUCGGAGU